GACGAACGCUGGCGGCGUGCUUAACACAUGCAAGUCGAGCGGUAAGGCCCUUUCGGGGGUACACGAGCGGCGAACGGGUGAGUAACACGUGGGUGACCUGCCCUCAGCUCUGGGAUAAGCCCGGGAAACUGGGUCUAAUACUGGAUAUUACUCUGCGGUGCAUGCCGUGGGGUGGAAAGCCUUGUGCGGCUGGGGAUGGGCCCGCGGCCUAUCAGCUUGUUGGUGGGGUGAUGGCCAUCAAGGCGACGACGGGUAGCCGGCCUGAGAGGGCGACCGGCCACACUGGGACUGAGACACGGCCCAGACUCCUACGGGAGGCAGCAGUGGGGAAUCUUGCGCAAUGGGCGAAAGCCUGACGCAGCGACGCCGCGUGAGGGAUGACGGCCUGG
rnacentral:rRNA from 1 species